CCCUUAGAUGUUCUGGGCUGCACGCGCGCUACACUGAUGCGUUCAACGAGUUUAUGACCUUGCCCGAUAGGGUUGGGUAAUCUUUUUAAAUCGCAUCGUGAUGGGGAUAGAUUAUUGCAAUUAUUAAUCUUCAACGAGGAAUUCCUAGUAAGCGCGAGUCAUCAGCUCGUGCUGAUUACGUCCCUGCCCCUUGUACACACCGCCCGUCGCUACUACCGAUUGGAUGGUCCGGUGAGAACUCUGGAUUGCGGUCGCUGCGGAGGUUCGCCUUCGCAUCGCUGCGAGAAGUUGAUCGAACCUUAUCAUCUAGAGGAAGUAAAAGUCGUAACA
rnacentral:rRNA from 1 species